rnacentral:rRNA from 1 species
AUUGAACGCUGGCGGCAGGCUUAACACAUGCAAGUCGAGCGAGCGGCGGACGGGUGAGUAAUGUCUGGGAAACUGCCCGAUGGAGGGGGAUAACUACUGGAAACGGUCGCUAAUACCGCAUACCAUCAGAUGUGCCCAGACGGGAUUAGCUAGUAGGUGGGGUAAUGGCUCACCUAGGCGACGAUCCCUAGCUGGUCCGAGAGGAUGACCAGCCACACUAGGACUGAGACUCGGUCCAGACUCCUACGGGAGGCGGCAGUGGGGAGUAUUGCACAAUGGGCGCGAACCUGAUGCAGCCAUGCCGCGUGUAUGAAGAAGGCAUUCGAGUUGUAAAGCACUUGCAGCGAGGAGGCGUUACUCGCAGAAGAAGCACCGGCUAACUCCGUGCCAGCAGCCGCGGGAAUUC